CUCUUUCGUUGUUGAUACUGUUUGUUGGCAGGAAUGGCGUAAGGCUGGCUUCACAGAGCAGCGAUCACUGCCCACUUUCAACGGUGGGAGGAUAA
rnacentral:SRP_RNA from 7 species